UGAUAUCAGGUCUGUGGUUGAAAGUCGAUGCUAGUCGCAGGCGAAACGAUCCUCGUAAGCAGGGACAGGUCUCUGUGAGCAUGGUGCGGUUUAGAAGUAAGUCCGUCCGCCAUUUAUGGCGAGAGAAGUAGUAGUGGGGACAAAAUGUUAUGAGCGAACCUUCCAGGCGGCGAGUGAGGGGGCAAAAACCAGGUCAGCUGAUAUUA
rnacentral:ncRNA from 1 species